rnacentral:lncRNA from 1 species
CAGCAAACGGCAGUCCUCUGCCCUGGCAGUGCAGAAGCCAGGAGUUGAACCCAUGUCUCUCACCAGGUUAAGCUGCCUCGCUAAGUUCGGAUGUGACCUCAGAAACAGAGGCUACUCCAGCAAUACAAGAUGCUUUAUUUUUCGGCUUCUACCUAUGCCACCCAAUCCCUUCACUGGGCCUAACUUAGUGAAUCAAAUUAAGUAUAUUUCCCUCCAAGUUUCCCCAGGAUUCUGGGCUCCUUUGCACACUACAGGUUUUCUCUAAACGCCCCGGGUUUAUCUAUCCUUUGGUGAAUUUUCAACUCUUCUUAUUUCUCUGCCCUGUCCUGACCAAAAAUCUUCAGUGCCUGUUUCUCUCUGCCAUCCAAAUCCCACACACAUCUAGGGGUGAAUCGGUGAAUCUGCGCUGAUGAGUGACACGUUUUGUGAAUCCUUUCUAGGAUCUCAGUAUUUCAUCCUAUCCGGAGGGAAGGCUCUAAAGAGCUCAAGGAAGACCUCACGAUGUCUAUGUGUGAGAAGAAACCUUUCACCCCUUCACUAUCACACCCCAUCAUCCAAGCACACACUCCUCUUUCAUCCCAUAAACCCCGGUCAGUGUCACCUGGAGUUAUAAGGAUGGGGUGACUUACCUAGUAACUGAAGACGCUCAGUAAUCUGAAAAAGAAAAAUCCCUUCACUUUAUAACUCAGGAGAUAACACCAACAGUCACUUCCGGCAGAGCUCAUGGCCACAGUGCAAGUUAAAAAAGGUAAAGACCCCUGUCUGGU